rnacentral:lncRNA from 1 species
ACUACAAUUCUUGAUGUAGGAUGUAUCAUUUGAAAGAAAAAUUGGCAAUUCAUAGCAUACAUUUUUUAAAAAUUUUUAGUGAAAGACUACAGAUUAAACAUUUUAAUCUAAUUGCAUGCCCUAGAUUUGAUCUAAAAACUAUCAAAUAAAAAUCAUAUGACAUGAAUAAAUACAACAUCUGAAUUUAAAUAAAUGAUCAUAUCAAUUUUGCAAUC